AGGGCCAGCCUGGAAGGGUAUGAAUAGAACUGUGCUCCUCAGCCAUCUCGGACAGGAGGAGAGCAGGAGGACAAGCAGAGGCUGAGGGCCAGAGGCCCAGAGAAGAACGUCAUGAGACCAUGGAAACCUCCUUUCCUCUGCUACUGAGCUGGAGAGAUGUUUCACCUUCCACAGAGACAUCGGCAUUGGCGUCAUGGCCAUCAUAUGGAGAUCAUAGAAAGAGCUGUACCCCUCUGACAGCUCAAACCAGAGGAGAGUAGGAUGGGCCUGAGGCACAGAGGAUAAUGUCAUCUGAACUUGGAACCCUCAUGUACUCUGCUACUCAGCUGGAGAGAUGUUCCACCUACCACAGAGACAUCGGCACUGGUGACUUGGUUGGCGUAGGGAGAUCAUGGAAAGAGCUGCAACCCCUGUCCCAGCCCAUGCCAGCUGAGAGCAGGAUGUUAUGCAGUGGCAAAGGGCCUGAGGCCCAGUGGAGAACAUCCUCUGAACAUGGAACCCUCCUGUACUCUGCUGCUCAGCUGGAGAGAUGUUCCAUCUUCUACGUGGACAUUGAUACAAAGAUAAGCAAUCAAAAUAAUGCCAGCCUGGCUGUAAUUUGGGUAUCAGCUGCUGGCAGCUGCCUUGGUGAUGACGUGGUCAUGGCACAGCAGGCAGAAUAUCAGCAGUUCCCUGUAUCACACAGGUUGGUGACAUGGCCGGCAUGUGGAGAUCAUAGAAAGAUCUGCACCCCUUUGACAGCUUAGACCAGAGUACAGCAGGAUGGCCCAGUGGAGAACGUGAGCAGACCAUGGAAACCUCCUGUCUUCUGCUGCACAGCUGGAGAGAUGUUCCACCUUCCACAGAGACAUCAGUACAAAGAUACGUCAUCAAAAUAACACCAGCCUGGCUGUAAUUUCUGCAUCAGCUGCUGGAAACUGCCUUGAUAAUGCUGUGGUCAUGUCACAGCCGGCAGAACAUUGGCAGUUCCCUGUUUCACACAGGCACUGGUGACUUGGUUGGUGUAGGUAGAUCAAGGAAAGACCUGCACCCUCUGCUCGCCCAGGCCAGAGGAGAGCAGGAUGGUGAUCAGUGGCAGAGGGCCUGAGGCCCAGAGGAGAACAUGAGACCAUGGAACCCUCCUGUCCUCUGCUGCUCAGCUGGAGCGAUGUUCCACCUUCCACAGAGACAUCAGUGCAAAGAUAUGUAAUCAAACUAACACCAGGCUGGCUGUAAUUUGGGCAUCAGCUGCUGGCAACUGCCUCGGUGAUGCUGUGGUCAUGUCACAGCAGGCAGAACAUUGGCAGUUCCCUGUUUCACACAGGCACUGGUGACUUGGUUGGUGUAGGGAGAUCAUGGAAAGAGCUGCAACCCCUGUCCCAGCCCAGACCAGCAGAAAGCAGGAUGGUGAUCAGUGGCAGAGGGCCUGAGGCCCAGAGGAGAACAUGAGACCAUGGAACCCUCCUGUCCUCUGCUGCUCAGCUGGAGCGAUGUUCCACCUUUCACAGAGACAUCAGUGCAAAGAUAUGUAAUCAAACUAACACCAGGCUGGCUGUAAUUUGGGCAUCAGCUGCUGGCAACUGCCUCGGUGAUGCUGUGGUCAUGUCACAGCUGGCAGAACAUUGGCAGUUCCCUGUUUCACACAGGCACUGGUGACUUGGUUGGCGUAGGGAGAUCAUGGAAAGAGCUGCAACCUUCUGCCAGCUGAGGCCAUUGGAUAGUUGGAGGAUGGUGAAACACUGUGAUGAGAAGACAUGAAGCACAGACCAGGUGCCCACAGGAGAACAUUAUCAAAGCAUGGAACCUUCUUGUUCUUAGUCAUUCAGCUAGAGAGGUGUUCUACCUUGUACCUGGGUAUUCAUAUAAAGCUAAAUAAUCAAAAUAACUGCAGUGUCCAUGUUACAUUGGGCAGCCAGCUGGUGGUAGCCCAUGUCAGUGUUAUUCAGUGACAUGGGCCAGCCCAGGACAGGUGUCCUCUGGCUGCCAGGAGAGACAGAACUGAUAGACUGGGACUGAGCCACAGGUACCUCCUCCCCACACCCUCUUCAGCCACUCGGACUGAGGUUUCUGCAGCCAUCUGUGAAGGCAUGAACCUAAGGACCAGAAAACACAGCCCCAGACUGUACCUCACCAUGGCCUCACAGACAGAUGGAGACUCCCAACAGCUCUGGACAAGUGAAGAUCUACACCACCUGCUUUCUCACAAUAAAAUCAUCUGAUUCAUAAAUGCA